CAGGCCAACACAUGCAAGUCGAACGAGACCUUCGGGUCUAGUGGCGCACGGGUGCGUAACGCGUGGGAAUCUGCCCUGGGGUCUGGGAUAACCGUUGGAAACGACUGCUAAUACCGGAUGACGACGAAAGUCCAAAGAUUUAUCGCCGAGGGAUGAGCCCGCGUAGGAUUAGCUAGUUGGUGUGGUAAAGGCGCACCAAGGCGACGAUCCUUAGCUGGUCUGAGAGGAUGAUCAGCCACACUGGGACUGAGACACGGCCCAGACUCCUACGGGAGGCAGCAGUGGGGAAUAUUGGACAAUGGGCGAAAGCCUGAUCCAGCAAUGCCGCGUGAGUGAUGAAGGCCUUAGGGUUGUAAAGCUCUUUUACCCGGGAUGAUAAUGACAGUACCGGGAGAAUAAGCCCCGGCUAACUCCGUGCCAGCAGCCGCGGUAAU
rnacentral:rRNA from 1 species